rnacentral:rRNA from 1 species
UUGAACGCUGGCGGCAGGCCUAACACAUGCAAGUCGAGCGGAUGAAGGGAGCUUGCUCCUGGAUUCAGCGGCGGACGGGUGAGUAAUGCCUAGGAAUCUGCCUGGUAGUGGGGGAUAACGUCCGGAAACGGGCGCUAAUACCGCAUACGUCCUGAGGGAGAAAGUGGGGGAUCUUCGGACCUCACGCUAUCAGAUGAGCCUAGGUCGGAUUAGCUAGUUGGUGGGGUAAAGGCCUACCAAGGCGACGAUCCGUAACUGGUCUGAGAGGAUGAUCAGUCACACUGGAACUGAGACACGGUCCAGACUCCUACGGGAGGCAGCAGUGGGGAAUAUUGGACAAUGGGCGAAAGCCUGAUCCAGCCAUGCCGCGUGUGUGAAGAAGGUCUUCGGAUUGUAAAGCACUUUAAGUUGGGAGGAAGGGCAGUAAGUUAAUACCUUGCUGUUUUGACGUUACCAACAGAAUAGCACCGGCUAACUUCGUG